rnacentral:lncRNA from 1 species
UCCCCUUCCACGCUGUGGAGGCUUUGUUCUUUCACUCCUUGCAAUAAAUCUUGCUGCUGCUCACUCUUUGGGUCCACGCUGCCUUUAUGAGUUGUAACACUCACCACGAAGGUCUGCAGCUUCACUCCUGAAGCCAGUGAGACCACGAACCCACCCGGAGGAACGAACAACUCCAGACGCGCCGCCUGAAGAGCUGUAACACUCACCGCGGAGGUCUGCAGCUUCACUCCUGAGCCAGCGAGACCACGAACCCACCAGAAGGAAGAAACUGGGAACACAUCCGAACGUCAGAAGGAACAAACUCCGGACAUGCCGCCUUUAAGAACUGUUAACACUCACCGCGAGGGUCCGCGGCUUCAGUCUUGAUGUCAGUGAGACGAAGAACCCACCCAUUCCGG